ACGGGUGCUACUUCGAACACGUCCUUGGCUGGUGGCAGAAACGGGACGACCCCCACUUUUUGUUCUUAAAGUAUGAAGACAUGAAGCAGGACCUACCUAAAGCCGUGAAGAAAAUGGCGGCGUUCAUUCAGAUCAAGCUGGAUGAUGCUUCCAUCGAGACUAUUGCGCAUGCGUGCACUUUCGCCAACAUGAAGGCCACCCUGGAUAACUCACGGUACUUAGGCAGGACUGUGAACGCUCGCAAAGGUAGAGUCAUGAGCUUCGAGUUCACAAACUUAUAGAUACCACCAUUUUCAUUACAGUAAUGAUAAUCUGUUCACAUCUCAUCUGACAUUUUGUUACGUGCUGUUUGUCUCCUACCAUUUGUUUUGCCUUUGUCAGCAGGGUUAGCCCUUUGUAAUAGUCAUAGUAUAGUUGGCUAGCCCUGGCUGUGCAUGCUGUACAGUCAAACCAAUAAAUAAAGUGGGGCUAGGAGGGAGCACAUUAACUGUACUAUUGAUAUAGGUUUUCUUUCUUUUAUGAUUUAUAUCAGUGUAAUAGUGUCAGAUGUCUUUAGGUCUCAUAAAGGCCUCAUUGUUCUGACUAUACUACAUUUGAAGGUAAGUGUAAUAAGCACGCAGUCCAUUACAUGUUAGCCCUGUACUAUCUACACUUACAAUUAUUUUCAACGUUCUUCAUUCUUAACCAUUCAUCUAAAACUAAGACGUGUCUAGUUAUGGCAUGAACAUGAUGAAUAUGUAUGGUGAUAUUUCAAACUGAUUUAGUAUCAAUUUCAGGUAUUGUUGGUGACUGGAAGACGAUGUUUACUAACGAACAAAGCAGGUUGCUCAACUCGAAAUGCAAGACAAAACUGGAGGGAACUGGACUUCAUUUUAACUUCGAAUAGUUCAAGCCUCAGUAAAUAGUACAUUUCUCGAUAGUCACGUAUGUGACAAAUGCAUGUAGAUUUUCAAACUUGCCUGUAACAUGAAGUCUGAAAACCAGGAUGUGAAUGGGGAAAAGUGCAUUAGACAAGAUGAUGGCUGUAGAUCUGGCUGGAAAAAGCUGCGUACCUGGAAAAAGCUUUUGAUACCGGUGCCUACAUUGGCCUAGGGAAGUGCUGUGGUAGGCAAUGAGAACUUCAGGUGUAGAGGAGUGGCUAGUUAGGGUUGUGCAAUCCAUCUACUAGUAUAGCCAUGCUAGGUCUAGUGUACAGGUAAAUGGCAGUUUUAGCUUUGAGUUUGACGUCAAGGUUGGUGUACACCAAGGCUCAGUUCUUAACCCACUCCUGUUCAUUAUUGUGAUGGAAGCAAUAUCACUUGGGUUAAGAGCAGGCUGUCCCUGGGAGGGUUUUAUAAAAACUUGCAUCUCAUGAAAUUGGCUCAUAAAACAGCCAAGUCCAAAACCUUCUUUUCCUAUGAUAAAUAUACUACGUUGCCAUCAUCAGGCAAUACAUACCGCAAGGAUAAGCAACUUUUUAUGUAUCACUAUGUCAGUUUGUUAAAAACAAAAACCUAAAAAUGUUUCACUAAAGUAACUAAAUCAUUUUGAUUAAAUAUACUAAAGGGCUUUUCAACAGAACUGAACAGAAUAGAAAGUAGCCUCAAA